ACUCGAAAUAAAUAUAAUCGAGUGUAGUAAGGUGAUACUCAAAUCCUACCCAAAUUUGAGUUCGGUAUUAAAAAUAAUAUCCGAACCCGUCCUAUAACCGAUUGUGAAAUACUGAAAACCUAUUUUAUCGAAUCGGAUUCCCGCGGAUACCGGUUAUUAACUGGCCAUUUACAUCCCUAGUAUCGCUUAAUUCUGUUCCGGUAUUAAUUUCGUUGCCAAACGGAGCCUCUUCUGCUCCAAACACCGGAUUGUAUUUUGUUUAUUGAUUCUCACCAUGGUUUGGGAUUUCGUCUCCAACGUUUCUCUGCCUUGCCUCUCCAAGAAGGAAAAGGACCAACAGAUUGGUGAGAAUGAAGCAGUGUAAGCUCGAUGUUAGGCGUGAACAAUGGCUAUCUCAAGGAAAGUCGUAGCGUAAUGCAAAAAAUGGACUUUGGCACUUUAUCCAGACCGGAUGGAAUUUGUUGCUUGGUAUUCAACCUGCUGUUCUAUUGGUCCUCGUAAAAUAUAAGAAUUUUUUCAGGGUUUCAACAACUUCCACCAACGCUGCUGGUAGCCCUCAAACCCAAGAUCUCAAGGGGAAUGACAAGUUCAUCUUUUUCUCCUUUUCCCUCUUAACUUGCAUUGGCUGAAUUUGAUGCGAAAUAAUGUUAUGAGGUUUGUUUGUAGCUGAGCUGAUGUGAUGUAUCUUUCUUUGUUUCCUUCCUACGUUAAGCGUUGGAGAUAAACAAGAAGAACAACCGCAAAUGUGGCAAAGAGUAACAAGCAUUAGGAGGCAACCAGAAUGGAAUGAAUGAAGCAGCCUUCUCCCAGGUUCUACUUGUCAAAUUUAAAGUGGCUAUGAUCAUUGUUAAAGCAGCCGGUAUUUCAAGUAUUCCACCUGGCCUUGUUGGCAACGGCGCAUUCAAAGUUGAAUUUGCCUUGGUCUUGUCUGCUCUGCUUUCUUAGACCCUUCCAGAUCAUCGGGUCAAUUCAGACGAACAGAGAUUUUUCACAUGCCGAUUGAAGUUAUUUUGAAUGAGAAAUUUGUAUAUGAAGAAAGAUAGACACAAGGAUAUUAUGAAAUGCAGCAUAAUGCCAAAUUUCCUAGGAUAAAAACAGUUGUUUAUCCAUGAAGUUAUUGGUCUCUUCCUUUA